CCUACGGGAGGCAGCAGUGGGGAAUUUUUCGCAAUGGGCGCAAGCCUGACGAAGCAACGCCGCGUGGGGGAUGAAGGCCUUCGGGUCGUAAACCCCUGUCGACCGGGACGAAACCAGUCCGACCUAAUACGUCGGGCUGUUGACUGUACCGGUGGAGGAAGCCACGGCUAACUCUGUGCCAGCAGCCGCGGUAAUACAGAGGUGGCAAGCGUUGUUCGGAAUUACUGGGCGUAAAGGGCGCGUAGGCGGUUCGUUAAGUCCCGCGUGAAAUCCCCCGGCU
rnacentral:rRNA from 1 species